rnacentral:rRNA from 1 species
AGUGAACGCUGGCGGCGUGCCUAAUACAUGCAAGUCGAACGGAAUUUAAAAGAGCUUGCUCUUUUGAAUUUAGUGGCGCACGGGUGAGUAAUAUAUAGCUAAUCUGCCCCUUGCUGGAGGACAACAGUUAGAAAUGACUGCUAAUACUCCAUACUCCUUUUUACCAUAAGAUAAAUCGGGAAAGAAUUUCGGCAAGGGAUGAGACUAUAUCGUAUCAGCUAGUCGGUGGGGUAACGGCCUACCGAGGCUAUGACGCGUAACUGGUCUGAGAGGAUGAUCAGUCACAUUGGAACUGAGACACGGUCCAAACUCCUACGGGAGGCAGCAGUAGGGAAUAUUGCGCAAUGGGGGAAACCCUGACGCAGCAACGCCGCGUGGAGGAUGACACUUUUCGGAGCGUAAACUCCUUUUGUUAGGGAAGAAUAAUGACGGUACCUAACGAAUAAGCACCGGUAA